UACGUAGGGUGCAAGCGUUGUCCGAAUUUACUGGGCGUAAAGCGCGCGUAGGCGGGUUUUUAAGUUGGGUGUGAAAUGUCGAGGCUCAACCUCGGAACUGCCUCCAAAACUGGGAGUCUUGAGGUCUGGAGAGGGAAGUGGAAUUCCAGGUGUAGCGGUGAUAUGCGUAGAUAUCUGGAGGAACACCCAUGGCGAAGGCGGAUUUCUGGUCAGUACCUGACGCUGAGGUGCGAAAGCCUGGGGAGCGAACAGG
rnacentral:rRNA from 1 species